rnacentral:rRNA from 1 species
CCUACGGGUGGCAGCAGUGGGGGAUAUUGCACAAUGGGGGCAACCCUGAUGCAGCGACGCCGCGUGAGCGAUGGAGUACUUCGGUAUGUAAAGCUCUGUCAGCAGGGAAGAGAAUGACGGUAACUGACCAAGAAGCCCCGGCUAAAUACGUGCCAGCAGCCGCGGUAAUACGUAAGGGGCAAGCGUUAUCCGGAUUUACUGGGUGUAAAGGGAGCGUAGGCGGCAGGGCAAGCCUGAUGUGAAAGCCCGGGGCUCAACCCCGGGACUGGAUUGGGAACCGCCCCGCUCGAGUGCCGGAGGGGCAGGCGGAAUUCCUAGUGUAGCGGUGAAAUGCGUAGAUAUUAGGAGGAACACCAGUGGCGAAGGCGGCUUGCUGGACUGUAACUGACGUUGAGGCUCGAAAGCGUGGGGAGCAAACAGGAUUAGAUACCCGUGUAGUC